rnacentral:rRNA from 1 species
UACGUAGGUUCCGAGCGUUAUCCGGAUUUACUGGGCGUAAAGGGUGUCUAGGCGGUUUGAUAAGUCGAACACUAAAUCUGGUGGCUCAACCAUACAGAUGAUGUUUGAUACUGUUGAACUAGAAUAUAAGAGAGGCAAGCGGAAUUGGUAGUGGAGCGGUAAAAUGCGUUGAGAUUACCAAGAACGCCGAAGGAGAAGUCAGCUUGCUGGUUUAUUAUUGACGCUAAAGCACGAAAGCGUAGGGAGCAAUCGGG